GCUGUGGUUCAGUGGAAGCCCUUCUGCUUUGCAUACAGAAGGUCCCAGGUUCAUUCCCUGGUAUCUCCA
rnacentral:tRNA from 1 species